UACAGAGGGGGCAAGCGUUGUUCGGAAUUACUGGGCGUAAAGGGCGCGUAGGCGGCCUGCUAAGUCGAACGUGAAAUCCCUGGGCUCAACCCAGGAACUGCGUCCGAUACUGGUUGGCUUGAAUUCGGCAGAGGGAGGUGGAAUUCCACGUGUAGCGGUGAAAUGCGUAGAGAUGUGGAGGAACACCGAUGGCGAAGGCAGCCUCCUGGGCCAAUACUGACGCUCAUGCACGAAAGCGUGGGGAGCAAACAGG
rnacentral:rRNA from 1 species